rnacentral:sRNA from 1 species
UGAAAUACGGAGACGUCCAUCGGUUGCA